rnacentral:lncRNA from 1 species
AAAAAUACAAAGUUGGCAAAACCCGAGCCCCAGUCCCACUUUUCGAAAAAUUACGAAUUCACAUUUCCAGAAUCCUCGUCUCGUCACGAGUCCAUACAUAUAAAAUUUACAAGAAUCGGAGUCCAUUUGACCCCUCAAAUCCACACUUAAAGUACACUUGGGUUUCAAGCCCUAACCAUCAUUUUUGACAUUUAACACCUUGAUGUCUUAGUGUAUAAUCCAUGAUUUCACGCCAUAAUUACAUAUUCGAGGUCUAAGGGCCCAUACCUGAUGAUCUCUCUUGAAGUCCCCUCCAAAAUCGCACCAAAAUCGCCCUAGCCAAGGUCUAAAAUAUUUCCUUCCCUUCUCAAUCGCGAAGCUACUGAUUAUUAAAAUCUGCCCAGAUUGCGCUUCUGCAGUUCCCAAGUCGCCUAAGUGACUUUUGCUUCCGCGCUCUAAGUCCGCUUUUGCGGUUCUUCAUUAAAU